CGCUUACCCGGUAGCGGCUGUUUAGACCCAGACCGGCCCCUGCGCGAUAUGAGCACUGCUCAGGACUGCAGCUGUUGGGCACCAGCAGCCAGGUCUGCAGGCUCCGCGAAGCCUGGCCCGGACCGUAGCUUCUGCAAGCAGUCCAGGUGUAUCCUGGGGUCACUGGAGGGCAGAGCCUGCUCAGAGCGAGUACAGAAGCAGCCCAGGUCUUCCCAGCACCAGGUUCACUGGAAGUGCCAGGUGUGGGAGAGGGAGCUGGGGAGGGAAGAGGGCUAUGCUGGUUCCCGAGCUGAAUGAUGUACCCAAGAGGCCAGGUAGCUGCAGCAAGUGCUAAGAUGAGGAGGAGACGCCAUCAUGGGGUGCAAAUAUGGAGCACAAAAGGCUGGACCCUCUUCCUUUUAGGCAGCUGCUGCUGAAGACAUCAGUUUCCCCUCUCCCCUCCUCAGGCCACCACCUCCUUCAUGCUCCUCUGUGAUCACCUCUCCAAGUCCCGGUGUCAGGAGCCUUCUCUGUGGCCGCCCUGGAGAGACUUGAGCCUGGGACGUGACGUGCUGGGCUGUGAAGCUUUCUGAGAAGGGAAACCUGCGGCCUGACCUGCCUGGAUGCUGCACCCAACCUCAUCUCUUCCUGGGAGGCAGGCUCUCUUCGCUUGUUUUUACAAAUUUGAAACCAACAACUGUCAGCAUUGACACCAUCAGGCCUUUCUCUUCUAAUUUAACCUUGCAGCCAACCACACGGCUAUCUGUGCGGGAUCUCUCCCCAGGCUCAAGGACAUGAGAUGCGGAUCAGGCCCAAGAGGCUGGAUGCCAAACCUAUCCUCUCCAUGUGAAGCACCAACUUGGGGGUGUCAACUAAAAAUAUGAGACCCGUAAACUUGGAAAGGAAGACUUUAUUUCUUGAGAAGGGUUGCAAACUGCAGGCUGGGAAGUGGCACCUCCAGCUGAGACCACAAACAGUGGACUUUCUCAAACUGGGGUAUUGACCUCUGAUGAACCGCCAUCCAAACCCGUGCCUUUCAACAUAAAAAGAAGCCCUUCGAGGUGCUCACCUUCAAGCUUGCUAGAGGAGGAGGAAGAGCAGGUUGAGUUUGACAUAAUUAGAAUGGGUUGAGCCUUUCCAGCAGAGUAAGGUUCUUUCAUGGUGGACAGUGGCCACCCACUGCCAUUUCUACAAGAAGAUUUUGCUUCUUAGGCACUGAGUUCCUGGUUCUUUCACUAGAGAAAAAUGAGUAGGUUGGCAAUCCAGUACUUCCAUCUUCUGUGAAGACCUGGGCAGGCGACGGGGGCUUGGGGGCUUGGGGGCAAGGACCAAAAACAAGGCUGCCAUUUGCUGUGCCCACCACAGAGGGACAUUUACUCCACCUGAAGCACAAGUAUUUUCUCAGUGAUGUUGGCUCCUACAAAGUCAAAAGGGGUAGGCUCCCUGGCUUACGCUCCAGGAGUUUGGACUGAAAGGGACACUAAAAGUGUCUUCCUCUAAGUUUAUGAUGUUGCCCUCCUCUGGCUACAACAGUGCUCUGGCCAUAAGCAUCCCAGGUUCUCUGAAUGAUGGUGGGUAUGGAAAUGUUCCCAAACACAGGUAUGGUGGUGUCCCCUCCCACUGUACCAAUCUAUGCCCAGGGCUGGAAGGUCCGUGGUGCUCUGAACUGGAUUCAUAAACAGUAGCAUCUCCAACCACAAGUGUGGUAUCAGCCCCUCCAACAGUAGCACAUGUGCUCCCGUGGGUGCCUGAUAGAAAGUGGGAACAUGUGUUUAUUAGCCAGGUGGGCCCCAAAUGCUCUGACGAGGUGCAGAAAGAGGACUCUGUCACAGUUGUGCUGUGCCCUCCCAUUGCAACACAUGUGCUCUGAACAAGUGGAGCCCAGGUGCUUUGCAUGUAGGCGGACACAAGAGGGCCUCUAAGCACAGGUGUGGUGUUGGAACCCUCAAGGCUACCGAUGCAUUCUGGCCAGGUGUGUCCCAGGUGGUCUGACUAUAGACAGCAACAGAAUUAUCUCCAGCACCGUUAUAGAGAUACCCGUCCAACUGAUGCGCUCUAGCAGGAUGGGACCCGGGUGAUCCGAACACAAGGAGGAACAGAAGUUUAUUCUGAUACAUGCUCCUUCUUAGGAUGUUAUCUCCUUCAAUAGUAACAGGUAUGCUUUGGCUGGGUGGGCCUCAGUCACUCUGUAGCCAGGAAGGAAAGGGCUCCCAAAACAGAUUUCUGC
rnacentral:lncRNA from 1 species